CUGGCCAGCAUCGCCUCGCUCACGGCUUGGUCCCUUUGGCGGCAUCGGAACACCGUCAUUUUCGACAAAAUCGCACCAUCAUCUUCCUUUCUUAUUGUGGCAAUGAAAGACGAAGCGUGCUCUUGGGCCGCGGCAGGAGCCUGAGGAAUGAACACAUGUAUCCCUAUAACCUGA
rnacentral:rRNA from 1 species